rnacentral:rRNA from 1 species
GGGCGAAAGCCUGAUGCAGCGACGCCGCGUGAGGGAUGACGGCCUUCGGGUUGUAAACCUCUUUCAGCAGGGACGAAGCGCAAGUGACGGUACCUGCAGAAGAAGCACCGGCUAACUACGUGCCAGCAGCCGCGGUAAUACGUAGGGUGCAAGCGUUGUCCGGAAUUACUGGGCGUAAAGAGUUCGUAGGCGGUUUGUCGCGUCGUUUGUGAAAACCAGCAGCUCAACUGCUGGCUUGCAGGCGAUACGGGCAGACUUGAGUACUGCAGGGGAGACUGGAAUUCCUGGUGUAGCGGUGAAAUGCGCAGAUAUCAGGAGGAACACCGGUGGCGAAGGCGGGUCUCUGGGCAGUAACUGACGCUGAGGAACGAAAGCGUGGGUAGCGAACAGGAUUAGAUACCCUGGUAGUCCACGCCGUAAACGGUGGGCGCUAGGUGUGGGUUCCUUCCACGGAAUCCGUGCCGUAGCUAACGCAUUAAGCGCCCCGCCUGG